rnacentral:rRNA from 1 species
UGGAGGGCAAGUCUGGUGCCAGCAGCCGCGGUAAUUCCAGCUCCAAUAGCGUAUAUUAAAGUUGUUGCAGUUAAAAAGCUCGUAGUUGAAUUUUAGGCCUGGCCGGGCGGUCCGUCUUUGGCGAGUACUGUCUGUUGUCGGGUCUUCCUUCUGGUGAACCAGUAUGUCCUUUAUUGGGUGUGUUGGGGAGCCAGGACCAUUACCUUGAAAAAAUUAGAGUGUUUAAAGCGGGCUAUUGCUUGAAUAGAUUAGCAUGGAAUAAUGAAAUAGGACGGCAUGGUUCUAUUUUGUUGGUUUCUAGGAUCACCGUAAUGAUUAAUAGGGAUAGUUGGGGGCAUUAGUAUUCAAUUGUCAGAGGUGAAAUUCUUGGAUUUAUUGAAGACUAACUAUUGCGGAAGCAUUUGCCAAGGAUGUUUUCAUUAAUCAAGAACGAAAGUUAGGGGAUCGAAGACGAUCAGAUACCGUCGUAGUCUUAACCAUAAACUAUGCCGACUAGGAAUCGGAAUUUGUUAUUAUAAUGACAAGUUCGGCGCCUUACGGGAAAC